rnacentral:rRNA from 1 species
UACGUAGGUGGCAAGCGUUGUCCGGAAUGACUGGGCGUAAAGGGAGUGUAGGCGGCUCAUCAAGUUAGAUGUGAAAUCCCGCGGCUUAACCGCGGAACUGCAUCUAAAACUGGUAAGCUGGAGUGCAGGAGAGGUGAGUGGAAUUCCUAGUGUAGCGGUGGAAUGCGUAGAUAUUAGGAGGAACACCAGAGGCGAAGGCGGCUUACUGGACUGUAACUGACGUUGAGGCUCGAAAGCGUGGGUAGCGAACAGG